UACAGAGGUCUCAAGCGUUGUUCGGAUUCAUUGGGCGUAAAGAGCGUGUAGGCGGUUCGGUAAGUCUGCCGUGAAAACCUGGGGCUCAACCCCGGGCGUGCGGUGGAUACUGCCGGGCUAGAGGGUGGUAGAGGCGAGUGGAAUUCCCGGUGUAGCGGUGAAAUGCGCAGAUAUCGGGAGGAACACCAGUAGCGAAGGCGGCUCGCUGGGCCAUUCCUGACGCUGAGACGCGAAAGCUAGGGGAGCGAACAGG
rnacentral:rRNA from 1 species